UGAGCAAUCUGCCCUUCUCAUCGGAAUAAGCGUUGGAAACGACGUCUAAUGCCGAAUACGACCUCCUUUCGCAUGAUCGGAGGUGGAGAGCUCCGGCGGAGAAGGAUGAGCUCGCGGCCUAUCAGCUAGUUGGUGUGGGUAAUGGCCCACCAAGGCGACGACGGGUAGCCGGCCUGAGAGGGUGACCGGCCACACUGGGACUGAGACACGGCUCAGACCUCUACGGGAGG
rnacentral:rRNA from 1 species